AGUGUUGGCGCUACUUCUGUGUUGAAUCAUCGUCAGAAGAGCUGGGCAGCCGGCAUACAUGAGAGCAACUGUGCUUUGUGGAUGGUGAAGAGCCUAGUAUCCAGGCAUUGGAUGCUGAAUCUCACCCACAUGCUGGACCCUGCAACUGUCCACCACCAGCCCCUAUAGCCACUGCUUUUAAAUAUUAACUUUUGCUAUGGUUCAACAAACACUGGGGUAUUGUCCACUGGGUACAUGAAGUUAUUAUAAUUAUUACUCAAAGAGAGGAAGAGACAAAUGAGUAUCUAUACUGUUUAAUUGCUGGGGGUGGGGGUUCAAAGGAAAUAAAUGAAGCAAAGUGGAGACACGGAUUCAGCUCACAGACUGUGAUUUUGAAGUAGAGUAAGAUAGGAACUCCUCCCAUAAGCCUCAUCCAUUGCUGGCAAGUCUGUAAAAUAGUGCAACCAUUUUGGAAAACAGCUUUGCAUUUCUUCAAGGGAACCCUGGAAGGAAUAAGUAUGGAGUUACCUAUUUGUCUGGUUAUGCCUCUUAAGUACAUACCCAAAGAGAACCCAAAAUAUACAUCCACACAGUUUUCAAUAUGUAUAGCACAGCAGCAGUGUUUAUAACGUCCAAAGCAGAAAUCCAAUUAAUGUUUAUCAUCUGAUCCACAGUUAAAUUCAAUGUCGUUUGUACAUUCAAUGGAGUAUGAUUUGAGUAUUAAAAGAUGAGAUAAUGACAUGUGCUACACUGUGGAUAAACCUUGAUGAUAUUAUCCUAAGUAAAAUAAUCCAGCCAUUAAAGA